rnacentral:lncRNA from 1 species
UCAGUCUUGUUGCUUGCGGAGUUCCUAAGUGAGCUGCCAUCCUGGGCUUUCCUACCCUACCAAGGGUGUGCUUUGUGAUCUAGACUGCCCCUUUCUUCCCCAUGGGCCAGGGAUAGAGAAUCCUUUAGUGGCUCUACCAAAUGUCCUUGGAUCAGGGGGAGCUGGGCUUUGAAGCAGUGAUGGGCAGGUGGGCUGGCUGCUGGUGCCACUGCAGCUUGUGACAGGUCUGUCCAGCAGCCUUUGGGUGUUCUACACUAUGAUGUGGUAGUAAGACAUCAGACCUGGAACUCUGCUUUUCUAGCUGCUAAUAAUGUGUUGUAUGUGUGUGUGUGUGUGUGGGGUGGUGGUGGUGAACUGUAAUCUCCUUGUGAAUAAUUGUAUAAGAUCUAGUCAAUAUCAGACCAAAGCUAACAGCGUGGAAAUGUUUGACGUGUCACUGAAUCGACACAGAACUGUGGCUAGAUACGUUUUCCAUGUGAAAAACAAAAUAAAAUUGAUUUUCAUGUA